rnacentral:rRNA from 1 species
GACGAACGCUGGCGGCGUGCUUAACACAUGCAAGUCGAACGAAGAGCGAUGGAAGCUUGCUUCUAUCAAUCUUAGUGGCGAACGGGUGAGUAACGCGUAAUCAACCUGCCCUUCAGAGGGGGACAACAGUUGGAAACGACUGCUAAUACCGCAUACGAUCUAAUCUCGGCAUCGGGGAUAGAUGAAAGGUGGCCUCUAUGUAUAAGCUAUCACUGAAGGAGGGGAUUGCGUCUGAUUAGCUAGUUGGAGGGGUAACGGCCCACCAAGGCGAUGAUCAGUAGCCGGUCUGAGAGGAUGAACGGCCACAUUGGGACUGAGACACGGCCCAGACUCCUACGGGAGGCAGCAGUGGGGAAUCUUCCGCAAUGGACGAAAGUCUGACGGAGCAACGCCGCGUGAGUGAUGACGGCCUUCGGGUUGUAAAGCUCUGUUAAUCGGGACGAAAGGCCUUCUUGCGAAUAGUGAGAAGGAUUGACG